UACGGAGGGGGCUAGCGUUGUUCGGAAUUACUGGGCGUAAAGCGCACGUAGGCGGCUUUGUAAGUUAGAGGUGAAAGCCCGGGGCUCAACCCCGGAAUUGCCUUUAAGACUGCAUCGCUAGAAUUGUGGAGAGGUAAGUGGAAUUCCGAGUGUAGAGGUGAAAUUCGUAGAUAUUCGGAAGAAGCACCAGUGGCGAAGGCGGGUCU
rnacentral:rRNA from 1 species